UGGCUCUUCCUAUCAUUGCGAAGCAGAAUUCGCCAAGCGUUGGAUUGUUCAGCCACUAAUAGGGAACGUGAGCUGGGUUUAGACCGUCGUGAGACAGGUU
rnacentral:ncRNA from 1 species